AAAGAAGAUUAAAAAGUUUUAUCCAGGUAGAAAAAUUUUUCAUUAUUUGUUGAGAGUUACAAGACAGUCUUAAUUGAAAAGUAUGUCGAAAUAAAUGUCGUGUUAGCAAUGAAUAAAUCAGCAUAGAAAGGUGUCUACUAUAAUAUGUAAAAAUUGGCACGUUUUCGAUUAGAUGGAAAUACUAAAACUUUAUUUAAUGCCUCGACAAAACUAUCAUAAAAAUUGAUAUAACAUUAUAUACAGAUUUAUUCAAAUCUAUAAUUAAGAAAUAAUAUAUCAAGAUAAUAUAAUUUGAUAAUAAUUUCUUAUAAAUAAUCAAUGAAAAAAAAAUCCAAAUUGAACAAACCAAAAAGCAAAACAUAUUAGUACUAUAAAGUAGUAAAUUUUGAAAAUCCUUUAUACAUAACUCUUACUAAUAUUUGAUAUUAAUUAAUAAAAAUCACUAAUAUUUAGUGACACUAUAUAUCAUCUUAAUACCUACCGUAAUAAUUUAGUAGAUUAGUUAGUCUGCUAAUAAAUAUCGACCAGUACAGAAAAUACAUACAAGAAACUUCAUGAAGCAAAGUUAAAAUAAACCGUUACUGGUCUGUGUAGCGUGACAAAGAUGAAAGCGGCUAAAAAAUAUCAGUUAUAAUAGAAAAUGAGAACACGAUUUUAAAUUUCGUAAUCAAUACAUAUAUAUUUAUGCCAUCGAAAUCAGAAGAGAUUGUUCGAUAUUAUAUACUAUACAUAUUAUACAAUUUAAAAAAUAAAAGAAAUCAUGUCGCAUUGUCCGUACUACUUUACGACGCUGCAUGCAAAUAUCACACCGAGAAUAUCGCUGCUGCGCAAAACGAUCUGUACCAGCCGCGACCUUGACACUAACCUAGCACAACGGCCCACCAUUUAGACCGGGUUACGGAGGAAAUACUACGCAGGAAUCUCUUCCUUUGCACCGAAUGGAAAGUUAACAUAUAAUUUACGAUAUCAUUCAAAGACUUCAAACUAUGGAAAAGUAAUUUAAAAGUGGCAAACACAACAGAUCUAUGUUUCAUUGAUGUUUCAUGAAAUUCAAAAUCUUCUUGGAAGAGUAAUUUAAAAUUGCUUUAACAGAGAAGACAUUGGAAUUUUCAAUUAAAUUUUGCUAUAAAAAAGGUUUCAAAAACUUCAAAUCAAAUAUGUUUUUUUAUGAUUUUAUAUGAAAAUAUAAAUUGAACAAGUUUAAAAGGAGAUCGGACGCACCUUUAAGGAUUCGGGCAAAUAGCCAUCAAGGAAAUCCAAGAGUUUAGGUAGUUCUUCCUUGGCAAGCAAACGAAAGUUUCUGCCUCGUUCCAUCGCUUCAGGACACUCCAUACUGAAAUUAAUUACCAAGAGAUCAUUGUCAUCCUAAACUGCGAAGGAUUUUCAUUUAUCGACAAGUAACCAACGACUACCUACAUGCAGCGAUUGCUGCAGAUAAUCACGCCAGUAUCACGAUAACAUCACAACGGAAAACACUAUGAUCCAAAUCGUAUAACUUCUUAAUGGAAAUAUCACAAGUAAAAAAUUUUAAACAUUUUAUUGUUGGCGCACCAAUGACUAAUGAUUUAUCGUAUCUAUUCUUAAUCGGCAUAUUAUAAUUAUGCUUCUUCGAUUUACCUUAAUAAAUUAAUCGCGUGAUUGUUAUUCCAGCAAAUCGUAAAUAAUAAUCACUGUAAUCGACGGAUAUUCGAUUGUCGAAAGAAAUGAGAAUUACGCGGCGUGAAAUCGGCCGGAGGUGAGAAUAGUUGCGGGCUAUUAUCAAGAGGUAGUUCCAACGGAGGCACCCGCCCUCGCCGCCCCCUGAACCCGCACUGCCGCCCCUAGGUCACCAUUACCCUCCUUGCACCUAACACCACUAGUCCCAGUACUAGUCCCAGCGCAGGCGCCUUUUUUCUUCAAUAUCGUAUCAUUAGCUUCCAGUACCCAGCACUACAGAAUUUUGCGUUCAUUUAAUUGCAGGAUUGUAUUAAUCGAAUUUAUUUAAAACUUCUUUUCAAUCAUUAUGGUUAAUGUUUAAAAGAAAAAUCUUAAAAAAAUAAGAUAAUUAAGAAUAAAUAAUUCAAAAUUUUUCUUUGUUGAUUACAAAUAUUUCAAUUGUUCUAACUUUAGUUAAAUUAUAAUGAUUAAUAUUAAUUUAUUUGAAGGAUAAUUAUUAGUAUUAAUGUAUAUAAAUAUAUAUUUAUUAUAUGAUUGUUGUAAAAAUUAUCUAUGUUAUAUACGAAUCAAUAUUUUUAAAAAGAUAUCAUUGAAUUAUGAUUAAGUAUGCGUAUAAUUUAUUUUAAAGAAAUAUAUCGAUUCUUUCUUUCA